rnacentral:rRNA from 1 species
AUACGUAGGUGGCAAGCGUUAUCCGGAUUUACUGGGUGUAAAGGGCGCGUAGGCGGGGGUGCAAGUCAGAUGUGAAAUCUAUGGGCUUAACUCAUAAACUGCAUUUGAAACUGUAUCUCUUGAGUGCUGGAGAGGUAGACGGAAUUCCUUGUGUAGCGGUGAAAUGCGUAGAUAUAAGGAAGAACACCAGUGGCGAAGGCGGUCUACUGGACAGUAACUGACGCUGAGGGGCGAAAGCGUGGGGAGCAAACAGGAUUAGAUCCCCUGGUAGUCCACGCCGUAAACGAUGAAUACUAGGUGUAGGGGGUAUCGACUCCCUCUGUGCCGCAGUUAACACAAUAAGUAUUCCGCCUGGGGAGUACGGCCGCAAGGUUGAAACUCAAAUGAAUUGACGGGG